rnacentral:rRNA from 1 species
UACGUAGGGUGCGAGCGUUGUCCGGAAUUAUUGGGCGUAAAGGGCUCGUAGGCGGUUUGUCGCGUCGGGAGUGAAAACACCGGGCUUAACUCGGUGCUGGCUUUCGAUACGGGCAGACUAGAGGUAUUCAGGGGAGAACGGAAUUCCUGGUGUAGCGGUGAAAUGCGCAGAUAUCAGGAGGAACACCGGUGGCGAAGGCGGGUCUCUGGGCCGAUACUGACGCUGAGGAGCGAAAGCGUGGGGAGCGAACAGG